rnacentral:rRNA from 1 species
AUUGAACGCUAGCGGGAUGCCUUACACAUGCAAGUCGAACGGCGUGGCGAACGGGUGAGUAAUGUAUCGUAACGUGCCCAGUAGCGAGGUAUAACUCCGCGAACGAGUAGCUAAUACCGCAUACGUUUAGAUCGGCUGAUAUCGGAUUAGCUAGUUGGGGGGGUAAGGGCUCACCAAGGCGACGAUGCGUAGCUGGUCUGAGAGUACGACCAGCCACACUGGGACUGAGACACGGCCCAGACUCCUACGGGAGGCAGCAGUGGGGAAUUUUGGACAAUGGGGGAAACCCUGAUCCAGCCACCCCGCGUGUGCGAUGAAGGCCUUCGGGUUGUAAAGCACUUUUGGCAGGAAAGCGGUACCUGCAGAAUAAGCACCGGCUAACUACGUGCCAGCAGCCGCGGUAAUAC